rnacentral:rRNA from 1 species
UACGUAGGGUGCGAGCGUUAAUCGGAAUUACUGGGCGUAAAGCGUGCGCAGGCGGUUCGUUAAGUCAGAUGUGAAAGCCCCGGGCUCAACCUGGGAACUGCAUUUGAAACUGGCGGGCUUGAGUGUGGCAGAGGGGGGUGGGAAUUCCGCGUGUAGCAGUGAAAUGCGUAGAGAUGCGGAGGAACACCGAUGGCGAAGGCAGCCCCCUGGGCCAACACUGACGCUCAGGCACGAAAGCGUGGGGGAGCAAACAGG